GGGUUGGAAAUAAAAUCAGUAAUUACUUGUCUUUUAUUUCAUGCCUUUUAUUUUCCAGAUUUGAAGGUAGGAUUUACGAUUUACUUCCUUGUAUUGGUUUCCUUUUAUUGGUUGUUUCCUAGUUUAGGCUAGUUACCAUUUUAGUUAAGUUUCUAAUUCUAUGUCUUUACUUUCCUAUAUAUUGGCUGUAACUGAUGGACAAUGGAGAGUGAUUUUUGAUUAUUGAAUGAAGAUGUUGAGUUUGUGCACUAAUGAUUGUGUGAUUCCCCUCCUUUCCCCUCUAUACUCUGAUUUCCCCUUCUCUUCCCUAAGGCCCUCCAUCAGAUGUAGUGAAAAUUGAGGACAGAGGGAUACCGCAAAGUGACUAUUUUAGAUAUUUUGGAAACAGUUUUUCCUACGAAGCAUGAGAGAAUUAAAGUAGAUGGAUGAAGUGGAGAGGUGCGACUGGAGUUCAGAUUCUGUUUUGUGGAGAAGGUUAGGUUGGAGUAUUCCCAUUGGUUGGAAGCUUUGAUUUCUUAUUUGUUGGAUGAUGUAAGAGCUCUAAUCAUCCAAUUACAGGCUUCUACGGAGAAACUAUAAAUAUAUGUACUAGCCAUAGGCCCUUCCUCCCCAUGAUUUGAAGAUUAAAGCUUUUGAGUUUCUAAAAUCUGGUUUUGUGGAUUCAGAACAACCUGUCUCUGUGGAUUCAGUAAUGUUUACCAGGUGGAUUCUCUUCAUAGGAUCCGGUGGACUCCUGGCAUGGGUUGAGGUGGUUUCCUAACUUGUGCUAUCCUUCUAUCUGUUCUUCUAUCUAUCUAUCAAGAGCACGCAUCAGAUCUGACUAUGUUCCUGAUGCAGUUGCUGAUUUUCUGAUCUUCUAUUAACGUAUUCUGUUAAAGAGAUUAGAACACCAUCAAUUUCCUUUAUGGAGUCUUACAAAAUGUGAUGACACUUCCCAAAAAAUAUAAUAUAUUGGUGAUGGGGGAGCAGAAGUAGCCAGUGAAACAAUAUUGUUGGGACUACAAUUAGUAAUGUCAUCUUCCUGAGCUCCGAAGCUGAAGAAUGCCGAAGGGCCAUAUAAUGGUGCAAGUCCCUCUUUUGCAAGGAGGGGUGGAAUAGAGAUGGUCCUUACCUUUGGAAUUUUUGCAUGAAGUGGCCACUCUCAUGACCUAGAUUCAUGCCAUUCUGCUGCAGCCAAGCUUUUUAUCCAUGCAGCAAGCAGGCAAGCAUGCCAAGGUGAUGGCAUGCUUUGUUCGAGGCAUGAAAGGUGACCACUUUGGAUGCCUAGGAAUCGCCUCGUGGCCUUGUGAGUUGUGACAACAUGCCUUAUAAUUUCUCUAUUUUUUGACACUUAACGAGUUUACACUGAUUUAUGUUUAUUGCUUUGCCAUAUAUUAUAUCCUAUCCUUUGCUUAUUAUAUGCUGGUUUUUAUCAUAUUAGGUUAUUACUAACAUAAAUACAUCAUAUUGCAAUGACAUGGAUUCUAUGUUGCAUCUAAGAAUAAUCAUAGAAAAUUAUCAUUGCCAUUACACCUAGGGCUCUAUACAAGCUCUCAAUGCCUUUGCUCGACAAGACGACAACUAUGCUCUCUCUCUCUCUCUGUAGGUAUUUUUUAGGUGGAUCACCUGGUUCUCCUUGUUUAUUAAUCUCUCCUAGGUCAGUCAUGUUGAGUUAUGACUUAUAAUCUGCCUGAUUGGAACCAUUUCUGCGUCCUGAACAAUCUCGAAUCCCUUCAUUGAGUGCAUUGCGGUGUAAGAGUAUGAAAACACUUUUCAUUAGGCACUAGUCCUUAAACUCCCAACUCAUAAUAGUAGGUGAAUACCAGACUUUUGUUUGCCUUCCUACUGAAGAAAAUAAGCAUCCUUAGACUGUUAUUAAUGCAAAUAUGACCAGAUUUUUUUAUUUCAUACUAGAUUUUUUUUUUCCCUUCAUAUGUCAAGGUAAUCCUAUGGCAGAUUUUGAAUGUUAUGAAGUGCUUCAAAAGGUUUUGGAAGGGGUUUAAGUGACUAACUAUUCAUUAUU